rnacentral:misc_RNA from 1 species
AUUAUAGAUCAAAAUUGCAAAUUCCUUCAAGUGAAUGCUGGAAACAGAAAGUUGUAUGACUUGGGAGAAACGAGGAGAGAAGUCAGUAAUUAUAUAUUUUUACCAUCACCUAAGUAGAAAAUCAUUUAGUUGAGCACUGUUUAAAUUUCCUGAACAACUUUCCUUAAGCAUUGUUUUGAUAACUUGAUUUCUCGUGCAACCUGGAUUUUUAUUUCCAUUUUAGAAUCCUGAAUCAUUCUGUUGAAGCUCAUCCUCUUCAUCAUAAAUGAUCCGCUUGCUGACUUCUAACAAUGGGAAUAUGCUCGGCUUGUCAGUAUGUUAUUUAAAAGCCGAUUCAUGAAAUUUUUGCUCCAGAUGCCUGAGGGUAUUUCUUGCUCCCAAAGUUCAAGUGAUGAAUCUGUGCUUGUUGUCAAUGUUGAGAUACUAUUUUUCUUCUUCAUAAUGUGAAAUUAUCUUUGUUUUGGCUUUGGUGUCGUCUGUUUUAGCUUGUCUGCACACACAGACUCACACACAUUCAUAAAACAAUGCAGCAAUGUCAUUUUGAAUUAACAGUCACAUUUAUGUAUUUCUUACUGCAAUCUCUCCAAUCUGUAACUAGGAUUUUGGACUUACAUGGACUAUUA